rnacentral:rRNA from 1 species
AAUGAACGCUGGCGGCGCGCCUAAUACAUGCAAGUCGAGCGAGAAGACGUAGCAAUACGUUUGUAAAGCGGCGAACGGGUGAGGAAUACAUGGGUAACCUACCCUAGAGUGGGGAAUAACUAGCCGAAAGGUUAGCUAAUACCGCGUACGCUCCUUGGACUUCGGUUCAGGGAGGAAAGCGAUGCCGAGGGUAUCGCGCUCUUGGAUGGGCUCAUGUCCUAUCAGCUUGUUGGUGAGGUGACGGCUCACCAAGGCUUCGACGGGUAGCUGGUCUGAGAGGAUGGCCAGCCACAUUGGGACUGAGACACGGCCCAGACUCCUACGGAGGCAGCAGUGGGGAAUAUUGCGCAAUGGACGAAAGUCUGACGCAGCGACGCCGCGUGUGGGAUGACGGUCUUCGGAUUGUAAACCACUGUCGGGAGGGACG